ACGGGUGAGUAAUACAUCGGAACGUGCCCAAUCGUGGGGGAUAACGCAGCGAAAGCUGUGCUAAUACCGCAUACGAUCUACGGAUGAAAGCAGGGGAUCGCAAGACCUUGCGCGAAUGGAGCGGCCGAUGGCAGAUUAGGUAGUUGGUGAGGUAAAGGCUCACCAAGCCUUCGAUCUGUAGCUGGUCUGAGAGGACGACCAGCCACACUGGGACUGGGACACGGCCCAGACUCCUACGGGAGGCAGCAGUGGGGAAUUUUGGACAAUGGGCGCAAGCCUGAUCCAGCCAUGCCGCGUGCAGGAUGAAGGCCUUCGGGUUGUAAACUGCUUUUGUACGGAACGAAACGGCUCUUUCUAAUAAAGAGGGCUAAUGACGGUACCGUAAGAAUAAGCACCGGCUAACUACGUGCCAGCAGCCGCGGUAAUACGUAGGGUGCAAGCGUUAAUCGGAAUUACUGGGCGUAAAGCGUGCGCAGGCGGUGAUGUAAGACAGUUGUGAAAUCCCCGGGCUCGACCUGGGAACUGCAUCUGUGACUGCAUCGCUGGAGUACGGCAGAGGGGGAUGGAAUUCCGCGUGUAGCAGU
rnacentral:rRNA from 1 species